CACGUAGGGUGCGAGCGUUGUCCGGAAUUAUUGGGCGUAAAGAGCUCGUAGGCGGUGUGUCGCGUCGGCCGUGAAAACCUGCAGCUUAACUGUGGGCUUGCGGUCGAUACGGGCAUCACUGGAGUUCGGCAGGGGAGACUGGAAUUCCUGGUGUAGCGGUGAAAUGCGCAGAUAUCAGGAGGAACACCCAUGGCGAAGGCAGCUCUCUGGUCGACCUCUGACGCUGAGACGCGAAAGCGUGGGGAGCAAACAGG
rnacentral:rRNA from 1 species